UUAAGCAUAUCAAUAAGCGGAGGAAAAGAAACUAACAAGUAUUCCCUCAGUAACGGCGAGCGAAGUGGGAAGAGCUCGAGCCUGAAAUCUCUGGCAGUUGCUGUCAGCGAAUUGUGGCCGGGAGAGGCAGCUUAAGCUCUGACCGGUGCUGUCGAAGUUGACCUGGAAAGGCACGUCGCAGAGGGUGAGAGCCCCGUGUGCGGCACCGCCGGGCAGAGCUGCUACUGUCUUCGGAGAGUCGGGUUGUUUGGGAAUGCAGCCCAAAGUGGGUGGUAAACUCCAUCUAAAGCUAAAUACUGGCACGAGACCGAUAGCAAACAAGUACCAUGAGGGAAAGGUGAAAAGCACUUUGAAAAGAGAGUCAAAAAGACCGCGAAACCGUUAGGAGGGAAACGAAUGCGGCUGAAUCGGCUCUGUUUCAGGCUCAGGAGACGAUGGCGGAUACGCCGGGUCGUGGCAGCCUCGGCGCCUCGGCUCGGAUACGACGCCAUCUCCUCUGCAUUCCUGUGGAGAGCUGGCCAACGACGGUUGCUCUCGGCUCAGAAGGGCAGUCGGGUAGGUGGCUCUCUUCGGAGAGACCUUAUAGCCGACGGUCUGGCAGACCGGGGGCGACCGAGGAGAGUUGCGAAUCUUCGCACGUGCAGCGCAAGCCCCUCGGGGCCGCGCCGCCUCUGUUCGUUCGGGCAUCGGGCCGUUGACUGCGUGCAGUGUUCGGCGACGACUUGUCUGCUCGUGCGGGGGGCCGGUGACGUUUUGCGCUGCGGUCGUUGGUGCUCGAAUGGCUGCAUCCGACCCGUCUU
rnacentral:rRNA from 1 species